rnacentral:tRNA from 1 species
GUAGCUCAGUUGGUAGAGCACCUGACUUUUAAUCAGGGUGUCCCGGGUUCGAGUCCCAGCGACUCCA